AGUGAACGCUGGCGGUAGGCCUAACACAUGCAAGUCGAACGGCAGCACAGUAAGAGCUUGCUCUUACGGGUGGCGAGUGGCGGACGGGUGAGGAAUACAUCGGAAUCUACUUUUUCGUGGGGGAUAACGUAGGGAAACUUACGCUAAUACCGCAUCUUACCUACGGGUGAAAGCAGGGGAUCUUCGCACCUUUGGCGUUUGAACUAGCCGAUUCCGGAUUAGCUAGUUGGCGGGGUAAAGGCCCACCAAGGCGACGAUACGUAGCUGGUCUGAGAGGAUGAUCAGCCACACUGGAACUGAGACACGGUCCAGACUCCUACGGGAGGCAGCAGUGGGGAAUAUUGGACAAUGGGCGCAAGCCUGAUCCAGCCAUACCGCGUGGGUGAAGAAGGCCUUCGGGUUGUAAAGCCCUUUUGUUGGGAAAGAAAAGCAGCAGGUUAAUACCCCGCUGUUCUGACGGUACCCAAAGAAUAAGCACCGGCUAACUUCGUG
rnacentral:rRNA from 1 species